rnacentral:rRNA from 1 species
GACGAACGCUGGCGGCGUGCUUAACACAUGCAAGUCGAACGGUGAACCAGGGCUUGCCCUGGGGAUCAGUGGCGAACGGGUGAGUAACACGUGGGCAACCUGCCCCUGACUCUGGGAUAACUCCUCGAAAGAGGUGCUAAUACCGGAUACGACCACUUCGGGCAUCCGAUGGUGGUGGAAAGAAUUUUGGUCAGGGAUGGGCCCGCGGCCUAUCAGCUUGUUGGUGGGUAACGCCACCAAGGCGACGACGGGUAGCCGGCCUGAGAGGGCGACCGGCCACACUGGGACUGAGACACGGCCCAGACUCCUACGGGAGGCAGCAGUGGGGAAUAUUGCGCAAUGGGCGAAAGCCUGACGCAGCGACGCCGCGUGAGGGACGACGGCCUCGGGUUGUAAACCUCUUUCUAGCAGGACGAAGCGAAAGUGACGGUACCUGCAGAAGAAGACACCGG